rnacentral:rRNA from 1 species
UUUAUUUUACCUUGUUGCUUCGGCGGGCCCGCCUUAACUGGCCGCCGGGGGGCUUACGCCCCCGGGCCCGCGCCCGCCGAAGACACCCUCGAACUCUGUCUGAAGAUUGAAGUCUGAGUGAAAAUAUAAAUUAUUUAAAACUUUCAACAACGGAUCUCUUGGUUCCGGCAUCGAUGAAGAACGCAGCGAAAUGCGAUACGUAAUGUGAAUUGCAAAUUCAGUGAAUCAUCGAGUCUUUGAACGCACAUUGCGCCCCCUGGUAUUCCGGGGGGCAUGCCUGUCCGAGCGUCAUUGCUGCCCUCAAGCCCGGCUUGUGUGUUGGGCCCCGUCCCCCGAUCUCCGGGGGACGGGCCCAAAAGGCAGCGGCGGCACCGCGUCCGGUCCUCGAGCGUAUGGGGCUUUGUCCCCGCUCUGAGGCCGGCCGGCCUUGCCGAUCACCCAAAUUUUUUCCGGUUGCCUCGGACAGGAGGGACCCCGCUGAAUUAGCAUAUAAUAAGGAAAUAACGAGUGAGGGCCUCUGGGUCAACUCCACCGUGUUUAUUU